rnacentral:rRNA from 1 species
AACGAACGCUGGCGGCGUGCCUAACACAUGCAAGUCGAACGGGAUUUAAGAGCUUGCUCUUGAAUUUAGUGGCGCACGGGUGAGUAACGCGUAGAUAAUCUGCCUGAUGAUCUGGGAUAACACUUCGAAAGAGGUGCUAAUACCGGAUAAGCCCACGGGGUCUUUGGAUUCUGCGGGAAAAGGGGGGGACCUUCGGGCCUUCUGUCAUCAGAUGAGUCUGCGUACCAUUAGCUAGUUGGUAGGGUAAAGGCCUACCAAGGCGACGAUGGUUAGCUGGUCUGAGAGGAUGAUCAGCCACACUGGAACUGAGACACGGUCCAGACUCCUACGGGAGGCAGCAGUGGGGAAUUUUGCGCAAUGGGCGAAAGCCUGAUCCAGCCAUUCCGCGUGAGUGAAGAAGGCCUUCGGGUUGUAAAGCUCUUUCGCAAGGGAAGAAAACUUAGCCACUAACAUUGGCUGAGGUUGACGGUACCUUGAUAAGAAGCACCGGCUAACUACGUGCCAGCCGCCGCCGUAAAAC